UAUGCAAUAUGUCAUAAAGUAAGGACUAGAAAUAGGCCAUAAACAGUCUUUAGGAACAGCAGAGAAAGCAAAUAAUAAAGGUAUUCAAUUGAUGGACAUACCUAAUUAAUCCACGAUACAUUAUAUAACUGCACCACCUGUUGUGAUCUGUGUUGUCAAUAUCCUAAGCAUAAGUAAAAACAAAUCAAAGAAAAAAUGAUUAACAAAUUAUGUCUUUACAGAUUCAACAAAAAUAUCUACAUAAUAAGUUUUCAGAGGCCUUUGGUAAAUGUGAAGCUAGAGGCUACUUUACACAGGGCUUUUACAAAAUUCUUGUACAUGGGUAAAGAAAUGUAUUGAGUUUGGACAAUAUGGUGGCACAACUGAUUGCACUUUCUGUAAUCACAGCAGUACAUUUUGAAGUGGGGCAUGGAUUUUUAUUUUCAUUUAUUGUAUUUUUAUUUUUGAUAGUAUGAAACCAGCCCAUGAGCAUCCCCAAGCUAUGAACCUUCUCGUUCAGAAGGAGAGCAACCUCAUUCAGAACAAGUUGCAAUCCUAAUCCCAGAUGAUGAGUGCUUAACAGUGCCAUCACAGAUGCAGUCCCACAGCUGGGUGCUUCGUAACACCUCACAACACUCUCCAGUGGAAUCACCUCACGGAAGCAUCUGCUAUUAAUCUACAUUGAGUAAUCAAGCAAUGAGAAAUUAAUGUUACAAAUUAAGGAAAGUGGAAAAUGAAAAAUUUGGAAGAUCGUUUCAUUGCAUCAGUGAGCUAUGCCCCACUCCCACCAUCGAUUAAAGCAUUUUAAAGGGAAGC